GACGUAGGGGGCCAGCGUUGUUCGGAAUUACUGGGUGUAAAGGGUUCGUAGGCGGUGUGGCCAGUCGGGAGUGAAAUCUCUGGGCUCAACUCAGAGACUGCUUCCGAAACUGCUGUGCUGGAGUGUGGGAGAGGCGCGUGGAAUUGCAGGUGUAGCGGUGAAAUGCGUAGAUAUCUGCAGGAACACCCGUGGCGAAAGCGGCGCGCUGGACCACUACUGACGCUGAGGAACGAAAGCUAGGGGAGCAAACAGGAUUAGAACCUACCCGAGUCAGUCCAAGACCAGUCUCGUACCUACGAUA
rnacentral:rRNA from 1 species